GAUGAAUAACGUAGCGAAAUGCGAUAAGUAGUGUGAAUUGCAGAAUUCAGUGAAUCAUCGAAUCUUUGAACGCACAUUGCGCCCCUUGGUAUUCCAUGGGGCAUGCCUGUUCGAGCGUCAUUUGUACCUUCAAGCUCUGCUUGGUGUUGGGUGUUUGUCUCGCCUCUGCGUGUAGACUCGCCUCAAAAUAAUUGGCAGCCGGCGUAUUGAUUUCGGAGCGCAGUACAUCUCGCGCUUUGCACUCAUAACGACGACGUCCAAAAGUACAUUUUUACACUCUUGACCUCGGAUCAGGUAGGGAUACCCGCUGAACUUAAGCAUAUCAAUAAGCGGAGGA
rnacentral:misc_RNA from 1 species